GGUUGACUUCGUGGAAAAAAGAAAACAAUAUUUCCAUGGAGUGGCCUCAUGCCUAACAGAAAAGACCUCAUUUAUGUUUAAAAAAAAAAAAAAAAUCCUGCAAGAAGGAGUAGCAGAGGGAGCAACAUCCCAAAGACCACAUGCAACUUCCAGAAAGUAAAAGUGACUCUGUCCGGAGUUCCAAUGGAUACAUCACGGGCUCCAAAAGAGGUUCUAAAAAGCAAAUUUGCCCGGUAGUUGUCCCUCUCCAUAGGCUACAGUUUCCUAGAGACAGGAAAGCAGGGUGCAUCGGCGUGCAGGCUUUUCUUGGAAAGUAACGAAGCAACCUGGGGCUGAGUUUAGAGACCUUAUGGGCAAGAGGUAGAACAUCAGCAUGUACAAGAUUCUGUUUGCCCCAUUAUUGGGUUACCGGAGUGCUGUAGUAAAAGCACAAAGGACACUGCUGAGAACUGGCUGGAUCACACUGUCAGCCAAGAAAAGGAAGGACGAAUGAGGCUGAAGAGACUGCAGGGCUGCAGAUGAAAUAUCCAGACCUAUGCAUCCUCAUGUGGGAUGAGUGGGUUCCGGCAAAAUUUAAGAGGCUAAUGAUGGGAUGGAGGGGUUGGCAGCAGCACAGCAUAGCAGAAUUUUCUGAUUCACUACCACUGCUGGUGUUACAGCGUGAACGUGACCUGAAGACAAAAAGGCUGUACAGAAUCAUUGUCACUUCCACAGGAGGGGUUUCGGCGACGCGUGUAAGGGAACUUUGGCGACUUAGUGCGAUCACUGGGAGAAUUGUAGAGUCCACUGGAGAGAAAGAAAAAUGGUCAAAAAGAGCCCAGAGAGUUCCUGGGGGAAAACACACCGCAGCCCAGACCUAUUCAUAACUGCACAGCUGGUACUUCCAGAGGCACAUGCACCAGGGGCACGUGGUUCUCUUUGCUGACAAGAUUUAUUAAAAGAAAAGAGUUAUCCUACUGAUGCUGUUUGAUUCUAGCAGAGGAGGAGAAGGAAAGAUGGAAGAGAGAGGAAACAGUGAUAAGGAAAUGAAAGAAACAGAAGACUUAUUUUAAAAUGCAAUUUUAGGGACACUGUGGCACAUUUUAUUGAUAAAUUAUAACCCCAAAUAAAUAAUGAAUCACCCAAUAAAUUGGAGGUACUAUUUUCUAACGUGUACUAAACCCUCAACAUAACAAUGUCCUGGGAGUCUAGGCUAUUUUUUUCAGACUUUAAAACUAAGUCUCCACAUCUUUAGAUGUUAAAAUAACAUUCACUUUAGACUAUUAAAAUGAUAUUCUGAGAUAUUUAGUACCAUAUAUUAGAAUAUAAAACAUAAUGAUCAGGUUUUGAUGACUACUUGUGAAGAAGUUUCUCAGCAUAUCAUGACAGUCCCCAUUUGAAAUCAAACCAAACAAAAAAC
rnacentral:lncRNA from 1 species